GCACAAGCGGUGGAUGAUGUGGAUUAAUUCGAUGCAACGCGAAAACCUUACUACCCUUGACAUGUCCGGAAUCCCGAAGAGAUUUGGGAGUGCUCGCAAGAGAACCGGAACACAGGUGCUGCAUGGCUGUCGUCAGCUCGUGUCGUGAGAUGUUGGGUUAAGUCCCGCAACGAGCGCAACCCUUGUCAUUAGUUGCCAUCAUUUGGUUGGGCACUCUAAUGAGACUGCCGGUGACAAACCGGGAGGAAGGUGGGGAUGACGUCAAGUCCUCAUGGCCCUUAUGGGUAGGGCUACACACGUCAUACAAUGGCCGGUACAGAGGGUAGCCAACCCGCGAGGGGGGAGCCAAUCCCACAAAGCCGGUCGUAGUCCGGAUCGCAGUCUGCAACUCGACUGCGUGAAGUCGGAAUCGCUAGUAAUCGCGGAUCAGCAUGUCGCGGUGAAUACGUUCCCGGGCCUU
rnacentral:rRNA from 1 species